UUUGUUGUAGCAUCAUAUUUCUUGAAAUACCUGGAGGAAAUAAAUAGUGCUUUAAGGUGUGUGAGACUUGAUGCUGGAACUGAGAAUAUAUACAUUGAGGACAUUCAAAAAUUCUUCCGUUGGUACGAUAAUGAUGACAUGUGUGGAGAAGACAUUUUAUCAAAGGAAGAUCAAUGUCUAACCAGAGAAUUGAACGCUGGUGGAGAACACUGAGAGAGAUGGGCAUCUCCUUCUGGAUAGACUUGUUCAAAGACAUGGAAGACCAAGGGAUGUUCUCAUCAGCAAAUAACGAGCACAUAGAAUGCCUUCGCUUCUGUUUUAUGAAAAUCAUCCAACAAGAACUUGAUCAAAUAAAAACAGAAUGGAAUAACCAUUACAUCAGAGCACAAAGACGCUAUGAUGAUGAUGGAAAUCUCCCAGGAAAACCAGA